GCCCUAAAUCUAGCCCACACAACUCCAUAUACCACCCUCCAUCAACCGCCCAUAAACAAAACAUUUUAUUAGCUUAGUACAGGCGAUCGAAAAUUUUAUAAGCGCUUCAGAUAAAGUACCGCAAGGGAAUGAUGAAAAUAGUAAUGAAAUAACCUCAAAGCCCCAAAACAGCAGAGCCUCUACCUCGUACCUUUUGCAUCAUGGUCUAGCUAGUCUCCCCAGGCAAAGUGCAAACUUCAGUCUGAUUUCCCGAAACUAAGCGAGCUACUUCAAUACAGCCUAAGAGCAAACCCGUCUCUGUUGCAAAAGAGUGGGAAGAUUUUCAAGUAGAAGCGAUAAACCUACCGAGCUUAGAGAUAGCUGGUUGUUCAGGAAAAGAGUUUAAGCUCUACCUUAAGUUUCUUUAUUAUACCAAACAAAAUACUAAACUUAAGAGCUAUUCAAAUAAGGUACAGCUUAUUUGAAACAGGAUACAACCUACAACACUGGGUUAAUGCAGAUUUUAUAAAUUAAGUGGGCCUAAAAGCAGCCAUCUUGUAGAAAGCGUUAAAGCUCAACUAUUCUUCUCCCUUAAAUUCCAAAAAUUAUCUUCAACCCUUCAUUACUACUGAACUAUUUUAUACCUUUAUAAAAGUUAUUAUGCUAGAACUAGUAACAAGAAUUAGCCCUUCUCCAAAAUGCACACUUAAGCCAAAAUGGACAUCCCAUUGGCAGUUACCGCAAAUGCACCUAUUAUAGUACCUCCAAACUAGACAACUCUAUAACUUUUAGCGUUAACCUGACACUAGAGCAUUACAGGAAAGAUUAAAAGAGAAAGAAGGAACUCGGCAAAUCUCGGUCCCGCCUGUUUACCAAAAACAUCGCCUCUUGACUAAAUAUAAGAGGUCCAGCCUGCCCACUGACAUAGUUUAACGGCCGCGGUACCCUAACCGUGCGAAGGUAGCAUAAUCACUUGUUCUUUAAAUAAGGACUUGUAUCAACGGCAUCACGAGGACUGUACUGUCUCCUUUCUCCAAUCAGUGAAACUGAUCUCCCCGUGAAGAAGCGGGGAUUAACCUAUAAGACGAGAAGACCCCAUGGAGCUUAAAGCCCAUAAACACCUCUACGCACUUAAAUCAACUUAGCCCAAGAGAUCUGUCAACCGGCUUUAGGUUGGGGGGACCGCGGAGAAAAACUUAACCUCCACGACAAACGGGCAAACGCCCUUAUCCAUGAAUUACAAUUCUAAGAAUCAAUAAACUGAUGUUUAAUGACCCGAUUUAUUCGAUCAACGAACCAAGUUACCCUGGGGAUAACAGCGCAAUCUACUUUAAGAGCCCAUAUCGACAAGUAGGUUUACGACCUCGAUGUUGGAUCAGGGUAUCCUAGUGGUGCAGCCGCUACUAAAGGUUCGUUUGUUCAACGAUUAAAACCCUACGUGAUCUGAGUUCAGACCGGAGCAAUCCAGGUCGGUUUCUAUCUAUAAAGUAUCUCCCCUAGUACGAAAGGACCGGGGUGAUAUGGCCUAUGUCAACACAAGCCAUCACCUUCCUCUAAUGAAAUUUCUCAAUUAGCUAAGACCUGAUAUAAAACUACAGACUAUAGUA
rnacentral:rRNA from 1 species